ACAGAGGUGGCGAGCGUUACUCGGAUUUAUUGGGUGUAAAGGGCAAGUAGGCGUCUUGACAAGUUAGGGGUGAAAUCCUGCAGCUCAACUGCAGAACUGCUCUUAAAACUGUUGAGAUUGAGUUUGGGAGAGGAAAGCGGAAUUCUCGGUGUAAGAGUGAAAUCUGUAGAUAUCGAGAGGAACACCAGUGGCGAAGGCGGCUUUCUGGCCCAGUACUGACGCUGAAUUGCGAAAGCUAGGGGAGCAAACAG
rnacentral:rRNA from 1 species